rnacentral:rRNA from 1 species
UCGAGCGGAACAGACGAGGAGCUUGCUCCUCUGACGUUAGGCGGAGAGACGGGGUGAGUAACACGUGGCAUAACCUACCUAUAAGACUGGGGAUAACUUCGGGAAACCGGAGCUAAUACCGGAUAAUAUAUUGAACCGCAUGGUUCAAUAGUGAAAGACGGUUUUGCUGUCACUUAUAGAUGGAUCCGCGCCGCAUUAGCUAGUUGGUAAGGUAACGGCUUACCAAGGCAACGAUGCGUAGCCGACCUGAGAGGGUGAUCGGCCACACUGGCCUGAGACACGGUCCAGACUCCUACGGGAGGCAGCAGUAGGGCGUCUUCCGCAAUGGGCGAAAGCCUGACGGAGCACGCCGCGUGAGUGAUGAAGGUCUUCGGAUCGUAAAACUCUGUUAUUAGGGAAGAACAAAUGUGUAAGUAACUAUGCACGUCUUGACGGUACCUAAUCAGAAAGCCACGGCUAACUACGUGCCAGCAGCCGCGGUAAUACGUAGGUGGCAAG